AUUGAACGCUGGCGGCAGGCCUAACACAUGCAAGUCGAGCGGAUGAAGGGAGCUUGCUCCUGGAUUCAGCGGCGGACGGGUGAGUAAUGCCUAGGAAUCUGCCUGGUAGUGGGGGAUAACGUCCGGAAACGGGCGCUAAUACCGCAUACGUCCUGAGGGAGAAAGUGGGGGAUCUUCGGACCUCACGCUAUCAGAUGAGCCUAGGUCGGAUUAGCUAGUUGGUGUGGUAAAGGCCUACCAAGGCGACGAUCCGUAACUGGUCUGAGAGGAUGAUCAGUCACACUGGAACGUAGACACGGUCCAGACUCCUACGGGAGGCAGCAGUGGGGAAUAUUGGACAAUGGGCGAAAGCCUGAUCCAGCCAUGCCGCGUGUGUGAAGAAGGUCUUCGGAUUGUAAAGCACUUUAAGUUGGGAGGAAGGGCAGUAAGUUAAUACCUUGCUGUGUUGACGUUACCAACAGAAUAAGCACCGGCUAACUUCGUG
rnacentral:rRNA from 1 species